AUAUGCUAUCAUACCAGCACUAACGCACCGGA
rnacentral:rRNA from 1 species